UGGGGUUUGGAAGUGGAGGUAGAACAACACCACGUGCCAACACUGAAGGAGAUAGCAUGGGGAGAGGAGGAAAGGAAAAUGGUGGUGUUGUAGCGCUGUGCGACAGUGGCUUGGUCAAAGGAUGUAGCCAGGAGGGAGAGGUAGAGACAAGAAGGGUCAGGCCAUCGGUGGGGUGGAGGGCGAGGGAGGCGGAUGAUAGGGAGGUGGGACAGGAGUGCGAUAAGUAGGUUUAGAUUGGGCUGGGCUCUAAAUCAGGUUUCAGAUGGGCCUGACUUUUCCAGCUUUAUAUUUUGAGUCCACGAAAUUCUUUGUGCACC
rnacentral:lncRNA from 1 species